rnacentral:rRNA from 1 species
UACGAAGGGGGCGAGCGUUGUUCGGAUUUACUGGGCGUAAAGGGCGUGCAGGCGGUCUGUUAAGUGCAGGGUGAAAGCUCCCGGCUCAACUGGGAGAGGUCCUUGCAUACUGGCGGACUUGAGGGGGGUAGAGGAAAGUGGAAUUCCCGGUGUAGUGGUGAUAUGCGUAGAUAUCGGGAGGAACACCUGUGGCGAAGGCGGCUUUCUGGGCCCUACCUGACGCUGAGACGCGAAAGCGUGGGGAGCGAACCGG